rnacentral:rRNA from 1 species
UACAGAGGUCUCAAGCGUUGUUCGGAUUCAUUGGGCGUAAAGGGUGCGUAGGCGGCGCGGUAAGUCGGGUGUGAAAUCUCGGGGCUUAACUCCGAAACUGCAUUCGAUACUGCCGUGCUUGAGGACUGGAGAGGAGACUGGAAUUUACGGUGUAGCGGUGAAAUGCGUUGAUAUUGUGAGGAACACUAGUGGCGAAGGCGAGACUCUGGACAGUUCCUGACGCUGAGGCACGAAGGCCAGGGGAGCAAACGGG